UACAGAGGGUGCGAGCGUUAAUCGGAAUUACUGGGCGUAAAGCGCACGUAGGUGGCGACGUAAGUCGGGUGUGAAAGCCCCGGGCUCAACCUGGGAAUUGCAUUCGAGACUGCAUUGCUGGAGUACGGAAGAGGAAGGCGGAAUUCCCGGUGUAGCAGUGAAAUGCGUAGAUAUGCGGAGGAACACCGAUGGCGAAGGCAAUCCCCUGGGCCUGCACUGACGCUCAUGCACGAAAGCGUGGGGAGCAAACAGG
rnacentral:rRNA from 1 species